GAUGAACGCUCGCUACAGGCUUAACACAUGCAAGUCGAGGGGAAACGACAUCGAAAGCUUGCUUUUGAUGGGCGUCGACCGGCGCACGGGUGAGUAACGCGUAUCCAACCUGCCCAUCACUUGGGAAUAACCUUGCGAAAGUAAGACUAAUACCCAAUGACAUCCCACGAAGACAUCUGAAUGGGAUUAAAGAUUUAUCGGUGAUGGAUGGGGAUGCGUCUGAUUAGCUUGUUGGCGGGGUAACGGCCCACCAAGGCAACGAUCAGUAGGGGUUCUGAGAGGAAGGUCCCCCACAUUGGAACUGAGACACGGUCCAAACUCCUACGGGAGGCAGCAGUGAGGAAUAUUGGUCAAUGGGCGAGAGCCUGAACCAGCCAAGUAGCGUGCAGGAUGACGGCCCUAUGGGUUGUAAACUGCUUUUAUAAGGGAAUAAAGUGGGUCUCGUGAGACUUUUUGCAUGUACCUGAUGAAUAAGGACCGGCUAAUUCCGUG
rnacentral:rRNA from 1 species